UGACGUGAUAAAGACGGGAUGAAGCCUAUUUAUUUUGGUGUUAUGCGGAUCUGGAAAUCAACUAGCCGAACGAAGGAAAAGAAAGUUAGAUCUGAAAGACAAGAGUUUUAGGUUUGUGGGAGAAGAAGAAGAAGAUGAAGAAGAAGAUGAAGAAGAAGAUGAAGAAGAAGAUGAGGCGCCCUUGUCCUCUUCACUUGAAAUCAAAUUCAAGACCGCCUUGCCUUCCUUCUCAGUACAUUCCAUUUCGAAUGGAAGCAGGGCUUUGCUAUUUUCAUUUUUAAAAUAGGCAUUGGGGUCCCUUCUUGUUCCUCCUUUUCCUUUCCUAUCCCAAUGCCUAUUUUAAAAUGAAAACAACGAUACACUGUUUUCGUUUGAAACUAUUGUUAAGGAAGAUAACGCUGACGAGUUCUUCAAUUUGAUUUUAGCUGACGGGGACCUUUUUUUAUUCAUCCACAGUCUCUGACUCUAUUACGGCUAAACAAGUAAAGAAAAACACGGAGAACAAAGGAUAGGCAUCCUGUAUUUUGGCUUCUCCUCCACGCCCUCUCUCUCACUGGAACCUGACAUCUAUCACCUGCUUGUUGCCACCUUCGUUCUGCUCAACACUAUUCUUCUUGGCAUGUUGCAAGUGUCGGUGAGAGCUUGGCUAUGCUGGCAAUGUUGGUUUGUUGCCGCAGUGUUGUGUUUGCAUUUUGCAGGGUUCAAGAAUUUGAUAGUGGGAUGGUGUAUGACAUUUGGACUGUAAAUGAAAUAUUAGAAUUCGUCUGUUACAAAUUUCUCUCUUUUAGUGUCUUGCUAACCUGAUGAUAAAAAUUGACAUUUAUUUUAUU